rnacentral:rRNA from 1 species
GAUGAACGCUGGCGGCGUGCCUAAUACAUGCAAGUCGAGCGAACAGACGAGGAGCUUGCUCCUCUGACGUUAGCGGCGGACGGGUGAGUAACACGUGGAUAACCUACCUAUAAGACUGGGAUAAUUUCGGGAAACCGGAGCUAAUACCGGAUAAUAUAUUGAACCGCAUGGUUCAAUAGUGAAAGCCGGUUUUGCUGUCACUUAUAGAUGGAUCCGCGCCGCAUUAGCUAGUUGGUAAGGUAACGGCUUACCAAGGCAACGAUGCGUAGCCGACCUGAGAGGGUGAGCGGCCACACUGGAACUGAGACACGGUCCAGACUCCGACGGGAGGCAGCAGUAGGGAAUCUUCCGCAAUGGGCGAAAGCCUGACGGAGCAACGCCGCGUGAGUGAUGAAGGUCUUCGGAUCGUAAAACUCUGUUAUUAGGGAAGAACAAAUGUGUAAGUAACUACGCACGUCUUGACGGUACCUAAUCAGAAAGCCACGGCUAACUACGUG